rnacentral:tRNA from 1 species
GCCGGCAUAGCUCAGUUGGUAGAGCGGCGCUUUUGUAAAGCGAAGGUCGGGGGUUCGAAUCCCUCUGUCGGCUCCA